UACGGGGGGGGCAAGCGUUGUUCGGAAUCACUGGGCGUAAAGCGCACGUAGGCGGAUUGCUAAGUCAGGGGUGAAAUCCUGGAGCUCAACUCCAGAACUGCCUUUGAUACUGGUGAUCUUGAGUCCGGGAGAGGUGAGUGGAACUGCGAGUGUAGAGGUGAAAUUCGUAGAUAUUCGCAAGAACACCAGUGGCGAAGGCGGCUCACUGGCCCGGUACUGACGCUGAGGUGCGAAAGCGUGGGGAGCAAACAGG
rnacentral:rRNA from 1 species